UCAAGCCUCAACUCUUCAAGAUGUAACACUCAACAUCAUUUUCCCUCUCCUCAAACCAACAGAAGUAACAAAUCACUGUAAGAUGACGUGAACCCUGAAAACCAUACAUGCGCUCCGUGGCACAUCUUCAUCUUGCUACUUGGAAACCUUGUCUCUGACAGAAACAUGCCUUCUCCCCCUAUAGACGACACCAACCUACACGGCAGGUGAAAGACUCGUUAGCAUCGUAAGAAAGAAGGAGAGAGAAGGACGCCACUUCUGAGACAGCUGUGUCCCUGACAGACAAUGGAUGGCCCAGGUCCAUCUGGAUGCAGCAGCCCUGGACCAACAUGAUGUAUACAUCUUCACUAG